GUAUUUUGAAUUGUUUAUUCAUAAUAUUUUUCAGACAAAGAGUUAAAAGAUAAAGGUUGAUGUUUGGUCGAUCUCCAAGAAGAUCGACUGACAUUGCACACAAGGUGGAUAUGGAUUUUUAAAGAGUGCCAUAAAACACUCAUUGUGAAUGAUCCUUCCGCAGGUUCACCUACGGAAA
rnacentral:misc_RNA from 1 species